GCUGGCACCCUGCUUACCAAUCACAAUUCACCUCCCUUAUAUCUCACUCUCACAGAUACAUGCUCUUUUAUUUUAGAGGAUCAAUGGCUCCUUGACUGGUCUGAAAUUAGAGGUUGCUAAUAGUCUCAAAUUGCCCAUUAAGUGUCCAGUGAGAACUUUAGUCCUCGUAAGGGCACACAGAUCUUUAACAUCCAGAGUACAUUUUGGGAACCCAAUACAAUUAUUUUAUACAUCUUUUGUAAUAAGAUUAUAUCCCAAAAUGUAUAUAUUAAUCAAUGUUCUUAUCUACUGAGAGCAAUGAUAUAAUACUUGGUCCCCCCCAAAUUUGGUGAAAUACACUGAACACCAGAUCACAUCAACUUGGGUAACUUUAUGUAAAAGAGUUAUUGACUUGUAAAUGUGACCCUUUAAAGGCUUCAUACAGAUCCCAACCUCUUUAGCCUAAGGUCUAGAUUGUGUUUCAGAAUUAAAAAUUUUCCAAAUUUUAAAAAGAAAUACAGUUUAGCAUUCAGUAAUGAAAUAUAUUAAUAUUUUUGUAGCAAAGUAUAUGAAUGAUUACAUUAAGCAAAGUACAUAAAUAGCUUUACAUUUGUUCAGGGCAUAGAAUUUACGCCUAAUUUAUGAAAAAUAUUUCAGUUUUCAGAGGUUUGGAGAUUUUGGAAUUGUGGAUAUGAGAUUGUGGCCCUGUAACAUUAGCACUCAGUAUUUUCCUCUAUUCAUAUGUACAGAUAAUUCAUUUCUGAAAAUUGAAAAUUGUUCUUUUUCCUUAGUAUUUUUGGAUCAUUCUUUGUCCUUAGAUUCUAACCUUUUUAUUUACAAGUGAACAUAUCUCUAAAUUAUUGUUUAUCAGGAGACGACGAUUUCAGGGAAUGAAUGCCAGCUGCUGUGAGGAUAAUAAAUGAUAUGACAUCAGUGAUUUUCCAUAUAAGAAAAGGCAAAGCAAUAUUCUGGUAAAAGGCAUGCUUUGUGACUUUCCUUCUAAGUUCUGGUACUAAUUACAGUUGGAUUUGGCAAAUGUUUACAAGAGUGAUGACAAUUUUCCAGUAUACAUUAUUUAUGAAACAGUUUAUUUAUAAAAACAGUCAUAAGAAAGCAGAAAGCAACUUCCAUUAGCUAUGUGAGAUUUUGAAAGUUCUCGAAAUCAGCUUAUGUAAGAGACUAUUUCCAAUAAUAACAGAAGGCUACAAAAAUGUCAGACCAAAAUAGUAGGCAGAAGGUAGAAAACUAAACCCUGAGAAUAAUAGUCAUUAAGAAGACCUUGAUGUAGACAUUGCAUAUGAGCAUGGAGAUUCAGGAAGGAAAUUCUGGAUGACUGGUGGCUGACAACUUUCAAAUAUAAUAAAUAGAGAUAGGACUUCAAAAGAACUUCAACAGGAAUAUAUGAUUUUAUAGUAGCACCUGGCCUUACUUAGAAUAAAAUCGUUUGUUACAACUAAAGCCAGCAUACAUGAUUCGCAAUAGGAGUAAACUUGCUAUAGACAUUCCUGUCCUCAAAUGAUUUUAAAACCAAAUUUUUCUAAGAACCUCAUAGAAACCUCCAGAGAACAACUUGUAUUAGUUUCUGUUUAUAUCUCAUAUUUUAGAGGCUCCAACACCUGAAAAGUCUCAGGGUAUUGUAAAAACUAUGAACCUUCAAGUGGUCUCUGGAAGAUUGUUUUGAAAUUGAUUGUAUCACUUUGAUCAGGCUACUGUCAGUUUUAAAAUACAGGAAAUCACCCAAUGGGCCACAGGCUGAGCUGAUGUCUGCCUGACCUAUGGCUUCAGUUUCCUAACUGACAACAUCUAUACAGAGGCAGAUCUCAUAAAAGGUCUUCUCUUGAUUGGAACCUGACAGAGGAAUGCAUUCCUGGUCCCUGAUGAAACCCUAGAAUCCCUCUUUCCCCUUUCCAAUGAAGGCUCCACCUCAGGAAAACAUUGAAAUGAGUGAGAGGUAUGCCUACAUCUUCAGCCAGAAGACCAAAAGCAUCUUCCCAUAGGAAAUAAAAAGCUAUUAAUAGGCACUAACUGUAUUUUAAGCAGUAUAAUUAUACCCUAUUUUAGGUACCUUGUUGUUUAAAAGGCUCUUGGGAUUUUAUCUGUAAAUUAACCAUCUACAAUGUUUUUUCCGUAUUUCCUCUGAGUCCUAACCAAUGUAUUAAAAACUACUUUUUUCUUAAAAAAAUUCCGACUGGAGCCUGACCAUUUAAAGCAUUUCCCUAGAAUAUAAGAUCUCCUAGUAAAAUAAAUAUAUCUCAAAUGACUCCCCUUGAAAAUACUUGAAUUUCUAAGAGAAUGAAAAUGCUUUUACAAAAUCCAAAAAGUUUUACAAAAGCAUUUGGUUCUGAAUUAAAUAUUUCACUUCCUUAAACUCUCUCUAGGUCAAACUCUAGCCCUCUAUCACAAAUGUAUAUACAAACAUACAAUAAUGCUCAUCAUGUCAGCUCUUCCAAGCCUAGUAAAAUGCUCAUGUCCCUUAUGGAAAAACAAGUCAUUCUUGCUUGGAGAGAUACCUCUUCAAAAUCCCUCUUCCAACCUUGAAAGAAUACUUGCAACUCCAAGGAGGGUAUCUAGCUUUCUUUACCUUUGGAGGGUCCAGCCAUCUCAAAGGCCUUAGUUUCAGAGUAGCCUUGAUCUAAAGCAGUUUCACACAGAGAUAAGUUUCCUUGCUCAAUAGCACAGGAACUUGCUGACUUCAUUGCAAAUACAGCAGAAGGGCCAGGCAUGGGUCUUCUUCCUGACUUGCCAGCUGAUUGGUUAGCAUACUUUGAUGUCACUUGAUUCAUCUUUCCAGCCCCUCUCCACUUCUUGAGAGCUUUAGUCCUCUCCUCUGGAGUUAGUCUGUCAAAGUGCUUAGCUCUCAGAAUUGGAGAUGGAAACAGGGAUCCCUGAAGAACUCUGUAUACAAACCUAGGUGACAAGGAACAUCAUUAGAAUUAAAUUCAUCUCAAAUGCAUUACAGAACCCCCCCCCCCAAAUACUAACGAAUUAAAAAAGUAAAAGGGUCUGGUGGCCACUUGGCUCCUGAAAUAAAGGGGGAGGGUAACCGAACUCUAAUACAAAAUGGAGAUAAAACAAUAUUAAAUAAAUUAAUAUUUGUAAAGCAAUUAGAAAAUAGUAAUUGCCAUAUAAGUGUUUAUUAAAAAGCAAAACUAAAUAGCAUCUAUAAAAGUAGAGAUAUAAAUAGUUGCUACAUAGGCUUAAUGUUAGGUUAAAUGAGACAAUACAUACAAAGCAGGCAGAGUGUUGACACAUAGUAGGUGUUAAAAAUGCUAUUUGUACCAGUUUCCUAUGGCUAUUGUAACAAAGUACCACAAACGUGUCCCUUUGUAGGCUAAGCUGGCAGUGUUUCUUCUGGUAUAACAUUCUCAAAAGUCUUGUGACUCUCCUAUGUAUGUCACUUGGAUUUAUGCCACUAAAUAGGAGGGGCCACCACAGAUCUUUCCUGUAUAACCUCAUUUCUUUUCCUGGUUACUACUGCAAUGGUUGAGGAGAUCUAGGAAUCACAUAACUAAUCUCUUCAGCACUAGCAGAAAGGUUGUCCAGCUAUGCUCUCAGACUUCUCUCCAGAGCAUACUACUAACAGUCAAUCUCCUAAUUUUAGCAACUUUUGCAAUCUGGAUAGACUGAGAAUUUCCUAAACCAAGUUCCUUGUGGCUUAGCAGUUUUCCCUUCAGUCUCUUUCCUCUCACAUUUUACUAUAAGCAGUAAAUCAGGACACAACUUUGACACUUUGCUUAGAAACCUCCUCUGCCAAAUAUCCAAGUUCAUUCCUUACAAAUUCUGCUUUCCAUAUUACUGUAGAACACAAUUUAGCUAAUUUUUCUGCCAGUAUUUGAAAGAUCCACUUCCCUCAAAUUCCCAAGCAUGUUCCUCAUUUUCUUCCGAGUCCUCAUCAGUGUACUUGAAAAUUCAUAUUUCUAGCAACUUUCUGUGUAUGAUGAUAUAUGUAUUCUCUGCAUCUGAUGAUACAGGCUUUCUCUGACUUCUUCAUUUUCUUCUGAAACCUCACCAACAGUAACUUAAUUUUUCAGGAAUGCAAGAUUGUUUUCAUAUUAUAAAAGCAAUUAAUGUAAUUUACUACACUAACAGUGUGACAAAGAAAAUCUUAUCUCAAUGGAUACACAAAUUUAUAUAUGUUUUAAAUGUGAAAAUAAGGAAUAGAAUGGAACUUCUUUAAUCUGGUUAAUGGUAUAGUCAUAAAAUUCUAUAUAAAACAUCAUAAUUAACAGAGAAAUAUGGAAACCUUUCCUUCUGGGAUCAGAAACAAGACAAGCUUCCCUAGCCAGGUCAAUGAGAAAAAUUAAGUGCCUAUGUAUUGGAAAGAAAGAAACACACUGGUCAUUAUUUGCUAAUGGCAUUACUGUAUAUGUAGAAAACCUAAAAUAAAAUAUUGGAACUAAUAAGUAAAUGUAGCUAUCAAGAUCACUGGUUACAACUUAAAUGUCCAUAUUUCUACCAAGAGCCUGUGUAAGGAAGUCUAGGAGAAUUUUUCUAUUAUGUGCCAAAAUUCAUCCUGCCUCUGCCCAUUAUCCAGUUUCAAAGCCACUUCCACAGUUUUAGGCAUUUGUUAUAGCAGAAACCUAUUCUGAGUACCCAAAUCUGUAUUAGUUUCCUAUGACUGCUAUACCACGUUAUUACAAACUUGGUAGCUUAGAAUUACAAAAAUUAUUCUCUCAAUGUUUUCAAGGCAAAAAAUUAUGAAAUUAGCUUCACUGGGCCAAAAUCAAGGUAUUGGAAAGGGCAUGCUCCCUCUGGACCCUCUAGUAGAGAAUCUAUUCCUUGCCUCUUCCAGCUUCUGGUGGCUUCUGACAUUUCUUGGCUUGUGGCUAAGGAAUCCAUGAUCCCAUAGUCAUAGUACCUUCUCCUCUUCUGUGUCAAAUCUCCCUCUGCCUCUUUCUUAUAAGGACACUUGUGGUUACAUUUAGGAUCCACCUGGAUAACUAAUCUCUUUGUCUCAAGAUCCAUAAUGUAAUCACUCAUGCAAAGUUCUUUUCUUGCCACAUAAGAUAAAAUUUACAGGUUACAGGGAUUAGGACAUGGAAAUCUUUUAGGGAGUCAUUUUUUAGCAUACCACGAUAAUAUUAGAACUAUACUGUUAAAGGCCCAGAAUUUUUAAAGCUAAAACCUUUAAGUAAUUGUUUUUUCAGAAAUUCUGUAAGUUCAUCUUGUCAGUUUUUAAUCUGGAAGCUGGCAAUAGCAGUGAGCACUAUAGAAGUAUCUUC
rnacentral:lncRNA from 1 species